UACGGGGGGGGCAAGCGUUGUUCGGAAUUACUGGGCGUAAAGGGCUCGUAGGCGGCCAACUAAGUCAGACGUGAAAUCCCUCGGCUUAACCGGGGAACUGCGUCUGAUACUGGAUGGCUUGAGUGUAGGAGAGGGAUGCGGAAUUCCAGGUGUAGCGGUGAAAUGCGUAGAUAUCUGGAGGAACACCGGUGGCGAAGGCGGCAUCCUGGACCAACACUGACGCUGAGUGAGCGAAAGCCAGGGGAGCAAACGGG
rnacentral:rRNA from 1 species